rnacentral:rRNA from 1 species
UACGGGGGGGGCAAGCGUUGUUCGGAAUUACUGGGCGUAAAGGGCUCGUAGGCGGCCAACUAAGUCGGAUGUGAAAUCCCUCGGCUCAACCGGGGAACUGCGUCUGAUACUGGGUGGCUUGAAUCCGGGAGAGGGAUGCGGAAUUCCAGGUGUAGCGGUGAAAUGCGUAGAUAUCUGGAGGAACACCGGUGGCGAAGGCGGCAUCCUGGACCGGCAUUGACGCUGAGGCGCGAAAGCCAGGGGAGCAAACGGG